UACAGAGGGGGCAAGCGUUAUUCGGAAUUAUUGGGCGUAAAGGGCGCGUAGGCGGCUUGGCAAGUGGAAGGUGAAAUCCCCGAGCUUAACUUGGGAAUUGCGCUCGAAACUACGAUGCUCGAGUAUGGCAGAGGAAGGUGGAAUUCCACGUGUAGCGGUGAAAUGCGUAGAGAUGUGGAGGAACACCGAUGGCGAAGGCAGCCUUCUGGGCCAAUACUGACGCUGAGGAGCGAAAGCGUGGGGAGCAAACAGG
rnacentral:rRNA from 1 species